rnacentral:rRNA from 1 species
AGCGAACGCUGGCGGCAGGCUUAACACAUGCAAGUCGAACGGGCAUAGCAAUAUGUCAGUGGCAGACGGGUGAGUAACGCGUGGGAACGUACCUUUUGGUUCGGAACAACACAGGGAAACUUGUUCUAAUACCGGAUAAGCCCUUACGGGGAAAGAUUUAUCGCCGAAAGAUCGGCCCGCGUCUGAUUAGCUAGUUGGUAGGGUAAUGGCCUACCAAGGCGACGAUCAGUAGCUGGUCUGAGAGGAUGAUCAGCCACAUUGGGACUGAGACACGGCCCAAACUCCUACGGGAGGCAGCAGUGGGGAAUAUUGGACAAUGGGCGAAAGCCUGAUCCAGCCAUGCCGCGUGAGUGAUGAAGGCCCUAGGGUUGUAAAGCUCUUUUGUGCGGGAAGAUAAUGACGGUACCGAAAGAAUAAGCCCCGGCUAACUUCGUG